rnacentral:lncRNA from 1 species
AGAACAGCUAGGAGGCAGUGUAGCUGGAGGGGAUGAAGCUAGGGGGAUACUUGUAGGAUAUGAAGUCACACAGUUGAUGACAUAAGUGGGGCCAGAUAUGUCAAGCCUUCCAAGACAUUUCAAAAACCGUUACUCUGAGUAAAAUGGGAGCCAUUGCAGAGUUUCAGGACUUGGACUGGCCCUGAUCAGGUUUGGCCCCAUGACAGGAAGACUGAAGUGAGUGGAGUUGGCAGUUCCAGCCCCCUCCCUUGUGACCUUUGGAUGCUUCACAGUCCAGCUCUGAACCUGCUUUCAAAUGGAGAAAGUCUGCCAUACUCUCUGGAACAGAGAGAGAGAGACAGAGAAAGAGAGAAAGAAAGAAGGAAAACCAGUUCCAGCUCUCCCUCUCUGUGUGGUCCAGGCCGCAAACACCUGGUUCAGGGACUACCUUGCGAAAGGAAAAGCCAAUUUACCAUUAAACAUUUAAUAAAGAAAAGACAACAAAGAAAAUCCUCUUGUAAUCACAUUGCAUGCUCAAGACACCUUUCAUGGGGCAACCAGCAAUAGCUACAAGACAUAUAGCAGGAGCAUGCUCAGAAGAUGGAAACCUUCCUCUCAGAUGACCUCGAGCUGUCUAAGAACCAAAAAUUCCCAAACUACAGAACUCAAUGUAAAGAGAAAGUAGAACAGGGAAUCUAAUAAGAAACGAGGGGUCCCUUGCUUUGUAGCACAUCAGACUUAUAAGACUGUUACACUCUCAUCCCCCAAUCAGAUUCCACCAAGUUAACAUUUGUAUAACCACUCCCACUCCCAACUCCUUAAAAGUCUGUCCCUGCUCAGCUUGGGGAGAUAGACUUGAGACUUGCCUCCUGUCUCUUUGCAGGUCCACCAUGCAAUAAAGCUCUUUCAUCUCUCAAAA